GUAAGCCUUGCCAGUGAGAGGAGCCAAACCUUACUGAUCCACAAGCUUGAGUGGAGAAGUGACCUAUGGCUGUCCUAUCCUCAGUGGUGCUUCCUGACCUGCCUCGCCUUCCUUUGCUGAUCUCUGAACUCCAUCUGCUCAAGCCAGUCUCUUAAACAGUAGAAAGGCUGAAGAAUAAAUGGAGUUGUAGUGCUGGGAUUUUCAUCUUACAAUGCUGAUUUCUCAGGACGCUCUCUAAUGGGAAGGCUGUCCUGCUUCUUUGAGACCUGUCCUCACACCCUGUCACCAGCACCCCAACAAGCCUUUUGGAAUUUAAGGUGGAUUAUUCAAGAAGAGCAGCAGGAAGCCAUAAGAGGGAGGAGGAGGUGAUUCAGGUGCCCACUCCUGGUUCUACCUGCAGCAGUGGUACCCAGCUGUUGGAGGAGCACACAGCUUGACUGCACCUUCAUGAACUUCACAUCUCUGCACAUUCUGCUUCAUGGCUUCUCCAGAACCUCGGGGGACGAGGAGUGUCAGGAAGUUAACUCUUCUAGGGGAAACCUUGAAUCUUGAGACCAUGGAACCUCGUGGAUAGAAGCCCAAGCCUCCUGCUUUUCAGAUAGAAAAUUCUGCUAUCUCUCUUUAUAACUCCUAGAGAGAGGCCCUGGUAUACUCAAGCCCACUCUACCUGUUGUACUGACCUUGAUAUAUUUGUCUUUUCUCCUUUCCCUAUCUUUUUCAUCAUCUUUCCUCCUUUCUGCUUCCUGGGAUCACUUCCCAUGUUAGCUACCUGUGCCAAAGUCCUUGUCUCAGGUCAUGCUUUCAAGGGAAUUCAAACUAAGACUGGGUCACUUGAGGGUGAUGUGAAUGCAUUGAGUGUGGAACUGGCAGAUGAGGGAUGAUGUGGCAGGGCCAUUUCUGCUCACUUAGAUUCUUCUACCCAUGGCUGGGUCAUCUGUACUGGUUUCAUGAUUUCCCUUACCCUGGGUCUUGGAAUCAGUACUGACUAUGGAUAGCUUAGUUUUUGUUUCAAGCCAUGAGUAUAUCAGCCAGGAGGUACAUAAAACCCAGCACUACAGCGUGGGGACUAUUCCAGAGACCUCACUGCAUUUUGUCAUGAUACUCAGUUUUCACUCCUGCUGCAUAGCUUGGGUCUGGCUCCUGAUGCUGAUCAUCCUAGGCUAGCCCCACCUUGUCUGGCUCUUGUCUCCUCCUGGGGGUAUACUCAUCCUGUCUUCCACCAGAUUCUGUCACAUGUGCCACCUGGAUCUGAUGGUUUGGGGAUCUAUCUGGAGCUCUGAGAACCCCAUGUAGUGGCAUAGAAAAUCACCACCACUGGCCAUAUGCUUGAGGAAGAUAUAAUCACACAGAUGUACACUCUAUCAGUAACUCUCUGUAGGUACCUGUGUAGGCUCUGACAUGGGAAGCUGACCCUAUCUACCCAACCUUGGGGCAAAUAGGAUACCCAGCAUUGCUGCUUCCUCAGUUUCCCCAGUUCAGCAUGAGCUAUCUAUACCCCACUUUCAGCAGACUAAGCUAGCAUGGGGAGAAAGUCUGAGGCUGAGCCUCCAUGGAUGGCAGGUAGCUGUAGGAGCUUCAUGUGUCUCAGAGCACGUGUUCCCUUCCUAAUUUUCCUCCAUUUUGUACCCCCUGGCAUAGGCUGUCCUUCAGGACACAAGCUGGUGAAUUGGUGGACCCCACUCCUGCCUUGGAAAUAUGCUCAUUUGCUCCUUCCCUCAGGGACCUGGCUUCCUUCCCUACCAGCAGCCCCUCCUGCUGUUCCCUUGUGAGGCUCUCCAGAACAAUCUGACUCAUCCUCUGACUCAGGGUGUCACAGCUGAAAGAUUGCCUUGAGUCCAAGAGGAGACUUUGGACAUCAACUGUUUUCAGCAAUGCUGGAUCUGUUAAAACUCUGAUAACUCUGAAGAUGGACUAGCUGCAUUUUCCAUAAUGAAAUGAACAUGAGCCUUUUGGGGGCCAGGGGCAGAAGGUUACACAUUAGAUCUAAAAUGUCCAGCACAGUUUCAUGUGUUCAUAGAUGGGGUCUGGCUGGAGGUGGGUCACUAGUAAUGUGACCUGGAAGUAUGUUUUCUUGUCCUUAGAUCCUUUCUUCUCUCUAUGCUUCCUGGAUGUCAUGGGGUGAGCAGGUUUCUUUUACUUACACUUUUAUUGUGUGUUGUGAUCUGGUUUAAUGAUGAUGGAAGGGAGCUGCAAAAGUAGAAGGACUGUGGAACCUAAGUUCUUGAACUAACUGUACAGUGGACUUACAUUUGAUGUUGUAGGAACUCACUUGCAGUCAUGUAUAAGAAAGUUGUAGGAUGCAUGGGAAGUGCAGAAGAGUAGAAGAGUAUCUACUUAUGAGGACUGAUCUUUCAUUUUUCCUUUAUGAAAAAAAUCACUGUAAGUACAUGCAGGUAAAUAUAUACAUUAUAAUAGUCCCCUUAAAGAUGUCCAUGACCUAAUCCUGUGGACAUGUUAUCAUACGUGACAAAAUUCUUUUGCAGAUGUGAUUAAGAUUACAGACCUUGAGAUAGGAAGACUAGUCUGAAGUAUCUGAUCCAAUCAUCUUGGUCCUUAAAAUUGGAGAACCUUUCCUAACUGGGGUCAGAAUAAAUGUGAGUAGGUGGAAAUGGUAAGAGAGAUACAAUGUUGCUGGCUUUAAAGACAGAAGAAUAGGUCAUAAGUCAAGGAACAUAGUGAACACAAGAAUCUGGGAAGGCAAGAAUAUGGAUUUUUUCCAAGAGCACUUGAAAUAGAACAUAGCCCUGCCAACACCUUAGUGAGACCCAUUACACCAGUGUUGAACUUUUAAUCUACAAGGUAGUAAAUAUGUGCUGUUUUGGUUCCUGAAUUCAAUUUGUUAUGCCAGCAAUAGUAAAGUAGCAUAAUAUAUAUGGAUCCACAUAGCAUUUAUUAGAUUUUUUUUAUGUUGUGUCCUUUCUUUGUGUGACCUUGCAGAACUUACAAAGCUUAAGUGAAGUGGACACUAUUAUUACCUCCAUUUAAGAGACUGAACCAUAGAGAGAAUAAGGGAAAUGGUAAGACCACAGAGAUUGUGAGUUUCAGAGACUUGAACCAUUCUGUUUCUUAGAGUCACUCACAUCUAGAGUAAAAACUUUUUGAAGUGUCUGUUACUGAUCCAGCUACAACUAGGAAAGUCUACCUUUGCAGAACCCAUGAAAUAGAGGUGCCUAUGACUCUGGGAUGUGACAGCUCUUUAGGGCAUCAUGCUUUAAUACUUGAAGAAGCAUCUUUUUUUCUCAUAAAUUGUGUACACAACAUAUGCUUUACAACUCAAAGAAGCAUUUCUCUUUACAUAACCAAUUACAGAACUAAUUGCCAACUGUUUUUAUCUGUUCAUUAAGGUAGAUAUAAUUAAAGCAACAUUUUGUUA